rnacentral:rRNA from 1 species
UACGGGGGGGGGCAAGCGUUGUUCGGAAUUACUGGGCGUAAAGGGCUCGUAGGCGGCCAACUAAGUCAUACGUGAAAUCCCUCGGCUUAACCGGGGAACUGCGUCUGAUACUGGAUGGCUUGAGUUCGGGAGAGGGAUGCGGAAUUCCAGGUGUAGCGGUGAAAUGCGUAGAUAUCUGGAGGAACACCGGCGGCGAAGGCGGCAUCCUGGACCGAUACUGACGCUGAGGAGCGAAAGCCAGGGGAGCAAACGGG